UAGAGUUUGAUCCUGGCUCAGGACGAACGCUGGCGGCGCGCUUAACACAUGCAAGUCGAGCGAGAACCGGGGCUUCGGCCCCGGGGACAGCGGCGAACGGGUGAGUAACACGUGGAUAACCUGCCCUCGGCUCCGGGAUAGCCCGGGGAAACCCGGAUUAAUACCGGAUGGCCCUUCCGACUCUCGAGUCGGUCGGGAAAGGUAGCUUCGGCCUCCGGCCGAGGAUGGGUCCGCGGCGGAUUAGCUUGUUGGUGGGGUAACGGCCUACCAAGGCGACGAUCCGUAGCUGGUCUGAGAGGACGAUCAGCCACACUGGGACUGAGACACGGCCCAGACUCCUACGGGAGGCAGCAGUGGGGAAUCUUGCGCAAUGGGCGAAAGCCUGACGCAGCGACGCCGCGUGAGGGAAGAAGGCCUUCGGGUUGUAAACCUCUUUCAGGAGGGACGAAGCUACUCGGGUGAACAGCCCAGAGGGUGACGGUACCUCCAGAAGAAGCCCCGGCUAACUACGUGCCAGCAGCCCCGGUCAA
rnacentral:rRNA from 1 species